rnacentral:rRNA from 1 species
UUGAACGCUGGCGGAAUGCUUUACACAUGCAAGUCGAGCGGCAGCGCGGGGGCAACCCUGGCGGCGAGCGGCGAACGGGUGAGUAAUACAUCGGAACGUACCCAGUUGUGGGGGAUAGCCCGGCGAAAGCGGGAUUAAUACCGCAUAAGUCCUGAGGGAGAAAGCGGGGGACCGUAAGGCCUCGCGCGAUUGGAGCGGCCGAUGUUCGAUUAGCUAGUUGGUGGGGUAAAGGCCUACCAAGGCGACGAUCGAUAGCUGGUCUGAGAGGAUGAUCCGCCACACUGGGACUGAGACACGGCCCAGACUCCUACGGGAGGCAGCAGUGGGGAAUUUUGGACAAUGGGGGCAACCCUGAUCCAGCCAUGCCGCGUGAGUGAAGAAGGCCUUCGGGUUGUAAAGCUCUUUCAGACGGAAAGAAAUCGGGCGCGUGAAUAGCGUGCCUGGAUGACGGUACUGUCAGAAGAAGCACCGGCUAACUACGU